rnacentral:lncRNA from 1 species
ACACUCACACUCACUCUCACACUCACACUCACACUAAUGUAUAGGAAUGGGUUUAUAUAUACACUAAUGUAUAAGGCCAUGUAUAUACUUAUUAUCAGUGAUAUAUACAGUUAUCAGCUCUAUAUGUUUAUGUAUUGAUGUAUAUAAGCAUAGAAUACAUUAGUUAUCGGCUAUAUAUACAAUUACUAGUGUGUGAAAAAUACAUUGAUGUGUGUGUGAUGUUUGUGUAUGUGUAAAGUACAUAACUGUAUAUAUACAGUGUAUUAAUAUUUACUUUUAUGAAAAUACUGUUAAUGGCACAAAUUAAAGCUCAAAGCAUAAUUUUUUACUGAUAAAUAAGAAGCAGAGAGUGUGACUACAGGACCAAGUAAUCAAUAUUUUAUUGUUGAUUGUGUAAACUGUAAACUUACAGGAGCAAGCAAUUGUACAUAUAGGAUUAGUUUCCCAAACUUAAUCCUUCAGCUCUGUUUCCUCAAGAAAAUGAAAAGCCCUCUUCAAACUAUCCCAAAUCAGAGAGAAAAACCCUUUUCAAACUAUCCCAAAUCAGCUUUUCAUCUUCCUAAAUCAGCAUCCGAUCUUCCUUUUCUCUCUUUAAAAAUCAGUUAAGGCCUCUUCCAUUAGGGUUCUUUCUUUUCUCUCUCUAAAAAUCACUUAGGGCGACCCCUUUUAUUAGGGUUUGUGAAAACUAUUUUCUUCUUCUUUCUUCUUGCUAUAAACUCUAAUGGCUAUGAGCCUAGCCAUAUUUUCUUCUCUUCCUUUCCUUCGUCGUUCUUCUUCUUCUCUUUACACAGUAAACAUAGAUGUAAAUCCCAAAUUUAUAUGAACUUCUUCCAACUAAAGAAAUUUAUAAAACUUUAACCAUAGUUAUGGAGUGACCAUAGACACCAUACCAUAAUUAAAUAACUGUCGUGACAAAACAAAAAUCGUGUGUUUAUUUUUUGGUACCUGCUAAGUAGGAGUUAUGUUUAAGUAUUUAAUAAAUUAAUUUAUAGUAUAUUUAUUUGUUUUUGUAUGUAAUAAGUGUGAUGUUUCUUAAAGUAUUUAAUUGGUAGAUUUAUAUGGUACUUUUUUUGGUAUAUAUUAAUUAAUUAUGUAUUUAAUAUUGGAUGAGAGUCACAAGACAUCUAAAUUAAUUGAUAUAAUUAUAUUAGUUUAGUAAAGUUUUUAUAGAUGAAUUAGUAAUUGAUGGCUUUGACAAAAUUUUUAUUUUUUAGAAUUUCAAAAUUUCUAAUAUGAUAAAUUUAUCCGAUUUUUUUACUCUGAUUUUUUUAGCCUAAUCCGAUAUAUUAGCGAUAUCUUUAUAUGAAGUAUUUUUACCAAUCCGUAUUUUUUAUCCAAUUUUUUCAUCUGAUUUUCAAAAUAAAAACGAUUAUUUUCGAUAUGUUUAUGCGUGUAUGUAUAAAUUUGCUAUCAGUCAUGUACACACUGAUAUGCGCACACACAUGCACCCUUACGUAUUGACAGUGCAUAUAUACAUUUCUAUAUACACUGAUAUAAAUGACCUUAUAGACACUUAUUAUCAGCUUAUACAGUUAUUAGUGUAUAUGUACACUGAAAUAUAUAUACGCACACUCAUAUGCAUAUCUAUAAAAGGUUGAUAUAUACACUAAUGUAUAAGACCCAUGUAUGUACUUAUUAUCAGUGAUAUAUACAGUAUUGAGCUCAAUUUGUCUACGUAUUGAUUUAUAACAAUAUAUACCAUUAUGUUCAAUGUACAUAUAUUUAUAUUGAUGCAUAUAACCAAACAAAACAUUAGCUAUUUGCUUUAUAUACAGUUAUUAGUUUGUAAAAAAUACAUUGAUAUGUAUGUGUGAUGUCUGUAUAUAUACGAUGUGAAUAUACUGAUAUGUGUGUAUGUGUAUGUACAAAGUGCAUAACUGUAUAUAUACAAUGCAUCAAUAUAUACAUUUUUGUAUACAUUGACAUAUAUGACGAUAUAUACAUUACUUUUCAGUUUAUACUAUUAUUAACGUAUAUGUAUACUGAUUUAUAUGCUACACACACACUCACACUCACACUCUCCCUUACACUUAUACUCACACACUCACUCACAUACACACGCACACACUCUCACACACACUCACUCACAUACACACACACACACACACUCACACUCACACUGACACUGACACUCACUCACACUCACUCGCACUCACACUCACACUGACACUCACACUCACACUCACACUCACACUCACACUCACACUCACACUCACACUCACACUCACACUCACACUCACACUCACACUCAC